GGUCUGGUGGUGGAAGCGUUUAGUGGUGCAGGAUGAGCCCGCGGCCUAUCAGCUUGUUGGUGGGGUGAGUGCCUACCAAGGCGACGACGGGUAGCCGGCCUGAGAGGGCGACCGGCCACACUGGGACUGAGACACGGCCCAGACUCCUACGGGAGGCAGCAGUGGGGAAUAUUGCACAAUGGGCGGAAGCCUGAUGCAGCGACGCCGCGUGAGGGAUGACGGCCUUCGGGUUGUAAACCUCUUUCAGCAGGGAAGAAGCCGCAAGUGACGGUACCUGCAGAAGAAGCACCGGCUAACUACGUGCCAGCAGCCGCGGUAAUACGUAGGGUGCGAGCGUUGUCCGGAAUUAUUGGGCGUAAAGAGCUCGUAGGCGGCGUGUCACGUCGGAUGUGAAAGCCCGGGGCUUAACUCCGGGUUUGCAUUCGAUACGGGCAGGCUAGAGUUCGGUAGGGGAGAUCGGAAUUCCUGGU
rnacentral:rRNA from 1 species